CCAUUUUAGUCAAUGGGGACGAAGCAGCAGUCCGGCAGUCCCAUUGACAGUCACUAGCGGCAGGACGGAUCCGACAGGCUGUUGACCCGACGGAACAGCCUGCCGGAGGUCCGUGCCUCUGGUGUGAAAGUAGCCUAAGCUGGCACAUGCUGCCCAAUUGUACACUCCACAGCCUAAUACUGCACAACGAGAUGAUCUAGCAAGGUGAAAAAUCUAAAUCAUUUUAACUUGAACCUUCUCUUUUCUAUACACUCAGGGUUUGAGGAUAGACCAGUGUUUUACAGACUAUCUAUGCUUGUGCAAAAUUUUGUGAAACCCUUAUGCGGCAGUCUUCAAUAUACGUUUUUUUAGUUUUUAAAGAAACUACAACUCUCAGCAUGCUCUUACAGCAAUGGGUUAGCAAGAAUUAAGAGGGAGUCUGGUGGACGAUCAGACGACAGGGUUCUUUUUGUAGUCUGUAACCAUAGAUACCUAUAGAUCUGCACUGAACAUACAGAAUGGAAGGAGAUUUCACAUCCAGGCUACUUGCAACGUGGCUUCAUUCAUUUUAGACGCAAGAAUGUAAAUGGUCUGGGAGGCUGGACCUGCCCUUGAAGUACAUUAAUGUAAACUUGUAAGGGUGUUUACAGCUACCUAUGGAUGUGCCUUGUCCAUAAGGCAGCCUAUGUGAACUGAUGCAACAUAUAACUAUACAGCCGUGGUCACUGAGAUGUGCAGGAGAGGCCUGAAGCAAAUUCUCUACUACAGGGAUCAGCAACCUUCGGCGCUCCAGCUGAGGUGAAACUACAACUCCCAGCAUGCAAACAUGCUCGGCUGUUCUAACAAUUCCCAUAAAAGUGAAUAGAGCAUUCUGGGAGUUUUAGUUUCUCAACAGUUGGAGUGCUGGAAGUUGCUGAUCCCUUCAUCUAUGGUGCCAGGCAUUGAUUACUGGGACACUAUAUACACACACAUGUGGAGAGGAGGUAGACGUAGAUUUAUUUUAUACUGGUCUUUAUGGACAAACCUGGCUUAGGGUCCUGUCCACACACGGUUAUUUUUGGGAGGUAAUUACCUACAAUGAAGAACUGCAAUAAUAAAUACAAUCCCACCUUA